rnacentral:rRNA from 1 species
CCUACGGGCGGCAGCAGUGAGGAAUAUUGGUCAAUGGGCGAAAGCCUGAACCAGCCAAGUCGCGUGAGGGAUGAAGGUUCUAUGGAUCGUAAACCUCUUUUAUAAGGGAAUAAAGCGUGGGACGUGUCCUAUUUUGUAUGUACCUUAUGAAUAAGGAUCGGCUAACUCCGUGCCAGCAGCCGCGGUAAUACGGAGGAUCCGAGCGUUAUCCGGAUUUAUUGGGUUUAAAGGGUGCGUAGGCGGCAUUGUAAGUCAGCGGUGAAAGUCCGUGGCUCAACCAUGGAAUUGCCUUUGAAACUGGGGAGCUUGAGUGUGUGAGAGGCUAGCGGAAUUCCAGGUGUAGCGGUGAAAUGCGUAGAUAUCAGGAGGAACCCCGGUGGCGAAGGC